rnacentral:rRNA from 1 species
UACAGAGGGUGCAAGCGUUGUUCGGAAUCCUUGGGCGUAAAGGGCGUGUAGGCGGUUUGUUAAGUCAUGUGUGAAAUCCCUCGGCUCAACCGGGGAACGACGCAUGAAACUGGCAAGCUAGAGUACCAAAGAGGGGGGUGGAAUUCCCAGUGUAGCGGUGAAAUGCGUAGAUAUUGGGAGGAACACCAGUGGCGAAGGCGGCUCACUGGACCGGAACUGACGCUGAGGCGCGAAAGCGUGGGGAGCAAACAGG